rnacentral:rRNA from 1 species
UGGGGAAUAUUGUUCAAUGGGCGAAAGCCUGAAACAGCAAUGCCGCGUGUAUGAUGAAGGCCUUCGGGUUGUAAAGUACUUUCGACAGGGAAGAAGAAGAUGACGGUACCUGGAGAAGAAGCCACGGCUAAUCACGUGCCAGCAGCCGCGGUAAUACGUGAGUGGCAAGCGUUAUCCGGAAUUACUGGGCGUAAAGAGCGCGUAGGCGUUUUGAUAAGUCAGAGGUGAAAAGUCAGGGCUUAACCUUGGCCUUGCCUUUGAAACUAUCAGAAUAGAGUCUUGGAUAGGAGGGUGGAACUACAAGUGUAGCGGUGGAAUGCGUAGAUAUUUGUAGGAAUGCCGAUGACGAAGGUAACUCUCUGGACAAUGACUGACGCUGAGGUGCGAAAGCUAGGGGAGC